GUGUGCUUGGGCGAGGAGGAAGCCUCUUGGUGCAGGAAGGCCUUGCUUUCCCUUGUCUUUAGAUCACAGAAGGCCAUUCUCGCUUUGAGGUCUUAUGACCCUCUAUACUCUGCUUUAACAGGAGUUGCUAAGAAGAGAAUGAGUUGGAAACUCCAUGCCUCAGGUUGGUGCCAUCCAUAAAGCCAAGAUAAUACAUAAACAGCUAAACAGCUAGUGGGACAACUAGGACAGAAAUGGCAGAAAACGUGACAGCCAAGAGAAGAAGCAAGAAUGGAGAGAACCCUGGAUAAUGGCACCGAGAUACCAUCGUGAAUG
rnacentral:lncRNA from 1 species